CCCUUAGAUGUUCUGGGCCGCACGCGCGCUACACUGACGACGUCAACGAGUUUACCUGCAUCGGAAGGUGUGGGCAAUCUUUUGAACCGUCGUCGUGCUUGGGAUAGAUCUUUGUAAUUUUCGAUCUUCAACGAGGAAUUCCUAGUAGGGGUAAUUCAUCAGAUUGCCUCGAUUACGUCCCUGCCCUUUGUACACACCGCCCGUCGCUACUACCGAUUGAAUGGUUUAGUGAGGCCUCGGGACUUGCGCUGGCGAGCUGGCGACAGCCUGCCUGUGCGGGGAACUCGUCCAAACUUGAUCAUUUAGAGGAAGUAAAANUCGUANCA
rnacentral:rRNA from 1 species